rnacentral:rRNA from 1 species
UACGGAGGGUGCAAGCGUUGUCCGGAUUUAUUGGGUUUAAAGGGUGCGUAGGUGGCUUUGUAAGUCCGUGGUGAAAGCCUGCUGCUCAACAGCAGAACUGCCAUGGAUACUGCAGGGCUUGAGUCCAGACGAGGUUGGCGGAAUAGAAGGUGUAGCGGUGAAAUGCAUAGAUACCUUCUAGAACCCCGAUUGCGUAGGCAGCUGACUAGGCUGGUACUGACACUGAGGCACGAAAGCGUGGGGAGCGAACAGG